UGGGGUGCUCUGUGGAACUGGGUGCUGCUGCAGAGUGAUGGGGGAGCUGGGGGUGCUAAUGUAAAUGGGGUGCUGUGCAAAGAGGGGUGCAGUGCAAAUAGGAGCACAGGAGUGGGGGCUGCUAGUGGAAGUUGGGGUGCUCUGCGGAACCGGGUGAUGCUGUGGAACAAGGGGGGCAAGAAAAGGCAUGGGUGGGAGCUGGGGGUGCUAGGGGAAGACUGGGUGCAGGGCAAAGGGAGUGCGUGCAGGAGGGGCUGCGACACAAAGGGGAGAGCACGGGAGAGGGGGUUCUAGUGAAAGAUGGGGUGCCCUGUGGAACUGGGUGCUGCUGCAGAGCAGGGACCAGGGGGAGCUGGUGGAAGAGGGGGUGCAGGGCAAAGGAGUGCGUGGAAGGGGGGUUGCAUGGAGUCAGGGCCGCGAUACAAACAGGGGUGCAGUGCAAAGGGGGAGCAGAGGGGUGCUGGCGGAAGAUGGGACAGCGCUGGGGCGGCGGGAUGUGCAGGGCCUGGUGGGCACUGGUGGAAAUUCUGGCCCAACAUGGUGCUGUAACCCCAUCUGUGCUUGUUGGUACCGCCGUGCCCUUCGUCCUGGUCACCAGCGGAGUCUGAGUCACCAGGAAAUCUGAUAAGGUUCUAGUAAAAGCGCUGGAGUAGCGUGGGGGGGUUGCUGGGCACCGUGUGACGGGGCUCAGCCACCCUGAUUUCUUGGCUCUGAUAUCAACUUCCUGAGCGUCACGUGUGUGUGACCAGGGCGAUCAAAAACGGUGCAAGUUUUGAACUGAUUCAUUAGCUAAACUUUAGGGGCAAAUGAACCUUUUGGUAAAGAUGCAGUCCCUAAUCCUUGGGGGCACUCGGUGUGGGGAAGGCAUGGGCCCUAGAUGUGAUGUAUGGCUGCUAAAACUCGAGCUUUGCAGGUUGUACUUGCACGUUGGCAUCAGUUACAUUCUCAUUUUAAGAUGGCAUCAGCUCCCGAAGCGCUGGCGCUCAGACGUGCUCGGCAGACAGAAGGGGAGCGCAGCAGCCUUGCUGCAGCGACUUGGUGAAAAUCAUCAACAAGAAACGUGACCUGUCAAUUAAAGUGAAUCACCAGCCUGAGCAGGAACCAGCUAGCAUAAAUUGAGGACAGACUAGAAGACAGAUAUUUACUGAAAGCAUUAAAAAAUGCUUUGUGUGACUGAAAUGAUUUUCCCUCACACUGUAAGAAGGGCAAGUCCAGCUCCCAGGCGCUUUUAUUCCUCACUCCCUCUACCUUUCUUUGCACUGAAAACCUCACCGCCCUGUUUCACGAGGGGAACACCAUGGUGCUGUUUACCCUGCAGGAGGGAAAACGCCUUAUUUACAUUGCCCAAGAUGCCUUCAGUUCCCUGUGAGACUGCAGGGGAAACUUCGGCUCUCACCAUCCCAAACAGUUCCUCCUUGGCCUCAGCCCCUGUUACGUCUGUCUGUCUGUCUGUCACCAGCACAGAAAGAAAAUCAAGCUCCUGUGUCCCAAUUUCUUGUCCCUCAGCAAGUAAAACUUACAUGUCAAGGGCAUCCAAAGCCUGCCUGGUUUCUGUGUGCAGCUUUAGUUCCCCAUGAGGACAGCAUCUGAGAAAAGAAGAUAAAACCCCGUUGUAAGGAUGAUAAUGAUGGAUCCCGAUUACUAUUUGUUUAAUUAAAAGAGUCCCAACAGAUACAGAGGCAACAAUUAACCAUUAUCUUCCAUGAAGAACUUGGACAACAGCUGAAUAAGUUAAUGGGUUGUGAGAUAAAAAGACAAAUCAUUACAGCUAAUGGUUGGUCUGUCGUUUGUGAGUCUGAAGGUGUAUGGUAGAGUCCUCGCACUUCCAUCUAAGAUCUGAUUUAAGGGGCUUUUGCUCUUUCUGUUAACACAGAAUAGACAAGUAGCAAUUUUCUUCUGUUGUGCAGCUGGGAUUAUCCAGGAGCCAUGGAAUUAAGUUCUAAAUGAAAAUUUAAAACUGUUCAUUGCACUUCAUUAGUAGACUUCAGGAAGUUUAAUUGUGAGAGGUCAGUUCAUAACUUUUGAUUUACUUUACACCCCCUACCCCAUGUCAGGAGGGUGCAUCAGGGUAAUUAGGGCUAACAGAGAUCCCAGCCUUGCCUUCACCCUGCAGCCUGGCGGGGUGUCCCGAGGGCCAGCGGUGUCCCCAGAACCAGCGGUGACCCCAGAACCAGCGGCGUCCCCAGAACCAGCGGCGUCCCCAGAACCAGCAGUGUCCCCAGAACCAGCGGCGUCCCCAGAACCAGCGGCGUCCCCAGAACCAGCAGUGUCCCCAGAACCAGCGGCGUCCCCAGAACCAGCGGCGUCCCCAGAACCAGCGGCGUCCCCAGAACCAGCGGUGUCCCCAGAACCAGCGGCGUCCCCAGAACCAGCGGUGACCCCAGAACCAGCGGCAUCCCCAGAACCAGCGGCGUCCCCAGAACCAGCGGUGACCCCAGAACCAGCGGCGUCCCCAGAACCAGCGGUGUCCCCAGAACCAGCAGCUGUCAGGACAAGGCGAAGGGAAGGUUUUUUGCAAACACUGCCACCCCCUGGCUUUUUCCACAGUGUUAUUUUUCAUUCCCCAAAUAAAAAGACUUAACUUUGUGUUGCUUCA